GCACCCGUAGCGCAGCUGGAUAGCGCGUCAGACUCCGACUCUGAAGGCCGCAGGUUCGAACCCUGUCGGGUGUACCA
rnacentral:tRNA from 1 species